UCUAGAACUCGAGAUAUGGGCUGAACACUGAACAAUGUCUGGGCUGUAGGACAAAUUCCAACUUCUCUGUUGUUGCUAUAAUUUGAACUUGAAAACGGUCCUUUUGAAUCUUGGACUCCUUAUGAAAGUUUUAGGCCUAUGUCUUAGCUUUCUAUC
rfam:Populus trichocarpa scaffold_13_contig_195, whole genome shotgun sequence.